UUUCCGGUUGAUCCUGCCGGACCUGACUGCUAUCGGAUUGAUACUAAGCCAUGUGAGUCAUUGUAGCAAUACAAGGCAGACGGCUCAGUAACACGUAGCCAACCUACCCUAUGGACGGGAAUAACCUCGGGAAACUGAGUAUAAUGCCCGAUAGAACAUUAUACCUGGAAUGGUUUAUGUUCCAAAUGAUUUAUCGCCGUAGGAUGGGACUGCGGCCUAUCAGUUUGUUGGUGAGGUAAUGGCCCACCAAGACUAUUACAGGUACGGGCUCUGAGAGGAGUGGCCCGGAGAUGGGUACUGAAACACGGACCCAGGCCCUAUGGGGCGCAGCAGGCGAGAAAACUUUGCAAUGUGCGAAAGCACGACAAGGUUAAUCCGAGUGGUUUCUGCUAAAGGAACCUUUUGUUAGUCCUAAAAACACUAACGAAUAAGGGGUGGGCAAGUUCUGGUGUCAGCCGCCGCGGUAAAACCAGCACCUCAAGUGGUCAGGAUGAUUAUUGGGCCUAAAGCAUCCGUAGCCGGCUCUGUAAGUUUUCGGUUAAAUCUGUACGCUUAACGUACAGGCUGCCGGGAAUACUGCAGAGCUAGGGAGUGGGAGAGGUAGACGGUACUCGGGAGGAAGUGGUAAAAUGCUUUGAUCUCUCGAUGACCACCUGUGGCGAAGGCGGUCUACCAGAACACGUCCGACGGUGAGGGAUGAAAGCUGGGGGAGCAAACCGGAUUAGAUACCCGGGUAGUCCCAGCUGUAAACUAUGCAAACUCAGUGAUGCAUUGGCUUGUGGCCAAUGCAGUGUUGCAGGGAAGCCGUUAAGUUUGCCGCCUGGGAAGUACGUACGCAAGUAUGAAACUUAAAGGAAUUGGCGGGGGAGCACCACAAGGGGUGAAGCCUGCGGUUCAAUUGGAUUCAACGCCGGG
rnacentral:rRNA from 1 species